AGUUGGUAGUGAGGCAGCCAUGGGGCUAGAAGCACUGGUGCCCCUGGCCAUGAUAGUGGCCAUCUUCCUGCUCCUGGUGGACCUGAUGCACCGGCACCAACGCUGGGCUGCACGCUACCCGCCAGGUCCCCUGCCACUGCCCGGGCUGGGCAACCUUGCUGCAUGUGGACUUCCAGAACACACCAUACUGCUUCGACCAGUUGCGGCGCCGCUUCGGGGACGUGUUCAGCCUGCAGCUGGCCUGGACGCCGGUGGUCGUGCUCAAUGGGCUGGCGGCCGUGCGCGAGGCGAUGGUGACCCGCGGCGAGGACACGGCCGACCGCCCGCCUGCGCCCAUCUACCAGGUCCUGGGCUUCGGGCCGCGUUCCCAAGGGGUGUUCCUGUCGCGCUAUGGGCCCGCGUGGCGCGAGCAGAGGCGCUUCUCCGUGUCCACCUUGCGCAACUUGGGCCUGGGCAAGAAGUCGCUGGAGCAGUGGGUGACCGAGGAGGCCGCCUGCCUUUGUGCCGCCUUCGCCGACCAAGCCGGACGCCCCUUUCGCCCCAACGGUCUCUUGGACAAAGCCGUGAGCAACGUGAUCGCCUCCCUCACCUGCGGGCGCCGCUUCGAGUACGACGACCCUCGCUUCCUCAGGCUGCUGGACCUAGCUCAGGAGGGACUGAAGGAGGAGUCGGGCUUCCUGCGCGAGGUGCUGAAUGCUGUCCCCGUCCUCCUGCACAUCCCAGCGCUGGCUGGCAAGGUCCUACGCUUCCAAAAGGCUUUCCUGACCCAGCUGGAUGAGCUGCUAACUGAGCACAGGAUGACCUGGGACCCAGCCCAGCCACCCCGAGACCUGACUGAGGCCUUCCUGGCAAAGAAGGAGAAGGCCAAGGGGAGCCCUGAGAGCAGCUUCAAUGAUGAGAACCUGCGCAUAGUGGUGGGUAACCUGUUCCUUGCCGGGAUGGUGACCACCUUGACCACGCUGGCCUGGGGCCUCCUGCUCAUGAUCCUACACCUGGAUGUGCAGCGACGAAGGAGAGUGUCCCCUGGGUGCUGACCCAUUGUGGGGACGCAUGUCUGUCCAGUCCGUGUCCAACAGGAGAUCGACGACGUGAUAGGGCAGGUGCGGCGACCAGAGAUGGGUGACCAGGCUCACAUGCCCUACACCACUGCCGUGAUUCACGAGGUGCAGCGCUUUGGGGACAUCAUCCCCCUGAGUGUGACCCAUAUGACAUCCCAUGACAUCGAAGUACAGGGCUUCCGCAUCCCUAAGGGAACGACACUCAUCACCAACCUGUCAUCGGUGCUGAAGGAUGAGGCCGUCUGGAAGAAGCCCUUCCGCUUCCACCCCGAACACUUCCUGGAUGCCCAGGGCCACUUUGUGAAGCCGGAGGCCUUCCUGCCUUUCUCAGCAGGCCGCCGUGCAUGCCUCGGGGAGCCCCUGGCCCGCAUGGAGCUCUUCCUCUUCUUCACCUCCCUGCUGCAGCACUUCAGCUUCUCCGUGGCCGCCGGACAGCCCCGGCCCAGCCACUCUCGUGUCGUCAGCUUUCUGGUGACCCCAUCCCCCUACGAGCUUUGUGCUGUGCCCCGCUAGAAUGGGGUACCUAGUCCCCAGCCUGCUCCCUAGCCAGAGGCUCUAAUGUACAAUAAAGCAAUGUGGUAGUUCCAACUCGGGUCCCCUGCUCACGCCCUCGUUGGGAUCAUCCUCCUCAGGGCAACCCCACCCCUGCCUCAUUCCUGCUUACCCCACCGCCUGGCCGCAUUUGAGACGGGUACGUUGAGGCUGAGCAGAUGUCAGUUACCCUUGCCCAUAAUCCCAUGUCCCCCACUGACCCAACUCUGACUGCCCAGAUUGGUGACAAGGACUACAUUGUCCUGGCAUGUGGGGAAGGGGCCAGAAUGGGCUGACUAGAGGUGUCAGUCAGCCCUGGAUGUGGUGGAGAGGGCAGGACUCAGCCUGGAGGCCCAUAUUUCAGGCCUAACUCAGCCCACCCCACAUCAGGGACAGCAGUCCUGCCAGCACCAUCACAACAGUCACCUCCCUUCAUAUAUGACACCCCAAAAUGGAAGACAAAUCAUGUCAGGGAGCUAUAUGCCAGGGCUACCUCCCAGGGCUCAGUCGGCAGGUGCCAGAACAUUCCCUGGGAAGGCCCCAGGAAAACCCAGGACCGAGCCACCGCCCUCAGCCUGUCACCUUGUGUCCAAAAUUGGUGGGUUCUUGGUCUCACUGACUUCAAGAAUGAAGCCGUGGACCCUCACGGUGAGUGUUACAGUUCUUAAAGAUGGUGUGUUCAGA